rnacentral:misc_RNA from 1 species
AAGUCGUAACAAGGUUUCCGUAGGUGAACCUGCGGAAGGAUCAUUAAAAAAUUGAGGUAUUAAUACCCUCUUUUGUAUUUAAAACCUUACUCUAUAAAACCUAAAAACUUUUAUAUAUAAUAAAUGAAAAACUUUCAACAAUGGAUCUCUUGGUUCUC